rnacentral:rRNA from 1 species
UGAUGUAGCCAUAUCACCAUGCAUCUCUUUCCUGGUUUCCCAUUGAAGCUAAGCAAGGUUGAGUGUGGCAAGUACCUGGAUGGGAAUCCUCCUGGGGAAAGCUAAGGUUGCUGCUG